AAUUCCAGGUGUAGCGGUGAAAUGCGUAGAGAUCUGGAGGAAUACCGGUGGCGAAGGCGGCCCCCUGGACAAAGACUGACGCUCAGGUGCGAAAGCGUGGGGAGCAAACAGGAUUAGAUACCCUGGUAGUCCACGCCGUAAACGAUGUCUACUUGGAGGUUGUGCCCUUGAGGCGUGGCUUCCGGAGCUAACGCGUUAAGUAGACCGCCUGGGGAGUACGGCCGCAAGGUUAAAACUCAAAUGAAUUGACGGGGGCCCGCACAAGCGGUGGAGCAUGUGGUUUAAUUCGAUGCAACGCGAAGAACCUUACCUGGUCUUGACAUCCACGGAAUUUGGCAGAGAUGCCUUAGUGCCUUCGGGAACCGUG
rnacentral:rRNA from 1 species